CAUCCAUUUCUGAAUUUUAGUAACCGGGCAUAGUACGGUUGAUGAUUCGAGAAAGCGAACAUAAAUGAAAAGAAAAAGAAGAGAAAAACCGAAAAUUCUAAUGUGUUUGCUUGUUUCGUUGUACAUUCUGGAGUAUUUAUUUUAAAUGUUAGUGUUAUAUUAUCUUAAAUUAAGUCAUUGUAAUGAGCAACGCCCAAUUUCACAUGGCAGAUAUGGAAAUUCAAUCAUCAGUCUUAUAGUUAAAAGUCCAGGAAAUAAAAAGUGAUCAACUGUGAAUGACAAAAUUUCGACCUCGAAUUUAUGGCAAUGUCCAAAACAGCCUCAUCAAUAGAUUGUGUGAGACAUCUACAUAAAAACCACAAACAAACAUAAGUGACCUAGCUUACCUCCGUGAUCCGUGUCGCAACCCUCGUCCGUACUGGAACUAUAUUGUUGAGUGAUUGGCGUAUAUCUUGGAUUCAAUGAGGCAGGCCCGUCAGUCUCAUAGUUUGGUAAAUAGGAAUAGCCUGGCAAA